AGUGAACGCUGGCGGUAGGCCUAACACAUGCAAGUCGAACGGCAGCACAGUAAGAGCUUGCUCUUACGGGUGGCGAGUGGCGGACGGGUGAGGAAUACAUCGGAAUCUACUUUUUCGUGGGGGACAACGUAGGGAAACUUACGCUAAUACCGCAUACGACCUACGGGUGAAAGCAGGGGAUCUUCGGACCUUGCGCGAUUGAAUGAGCCGAUGUCGGAUUAGCUAGUUGGCGGGGUAAAGGCCCACCAAGGCGACGAUCCGUAGCUGGUCUGAGAGGAUGAUCAGCCACACUGGAACUGAGACACGGUCCAGACUCCUACGGGAGGCAGCAGUGGGGAAUAUUGGACAAUGGGCGAAAGCCUGAUCCAGCCAUACCGCGUGGGUGAAGAAGGCCUUCGGGUUGUAAAGCCCUUUUGUUGGGAAAGAAAAGCAGCAGGUUAAUACCCCGCUGUUCUGACGGUACCCAAAGAAUAAGCACCGGCUGACUUCGUG
rnacentral:rRNA from 1 species